GAUGAACGCUAGCGGCAGGCUUAACACAUGCAAGUCGAGGGGCAGCGCGGUAGCAAUACUGGCGGCGACCGGCAAACGGGUGCGGAACACGUACUGAACCUACCUUUGUCUGGGGCAUAGCCCGGAGAAAUCCGGAUUAACUCCCCAUAAUAUAGAUGAGUGGCAUCACUUAACUAUUAAAAUUAUUGGACAGAGAUGGCAGUGCGUCCCAUUAGCUAGUUGGUAGGGUAACGGCCUACCAAGGCGACGAUGGGUAGCUGGUGUGAGAGCACGACCAGCCACACGGGCACUGAGACACGGGCCCGACUCCUACGGGAGGCAGCAGUGAGGAAUAUUGGUCAAUGGACGCAAGUCUGAACCAGCCAUGCCGCGUGAAGGAUGAAGGCCUUCUGGGUUGUAAACUUCUUUUACCUGGGAAGAAACCUCUGAUUUCUAUUAGNGUUGACGGUACCAGAGGAAUAAGCACCGGCUAACU
rnacentral:rRNA from 1 species